CACCAGCAUAAUCACACACAGAAUAAAAACUGAAUUCACAGACUGCAGCAUCAGCUGAAAGACGGAGCCCUACUUAUCCUCCGGCUUGCUUCUGGCAGCGUUUAGUAGGGUCUGUUGAUGUGCACAGCAUGGUUCAGGCAGGAAGUGCUUCAUGAAGAGAAGGAUUCUAGUGCCUCAAGUAGCAGACAUAUUAAGACCUUUCGGGCGGGGCCAGCAAUGGCGGAGCGCGCAGUCUCUGUCUGAAACCGAAGACAUGCCACGCCACACCGCGACAGGGGCCCGUUAUUUUCGGAAAGGACCCCUUCGGCUGAAGGGACAAGAGACAGGCUGUUGCAUCUAGGUGAAGGGAAGUGCUUCAGACUGUGGCGGCUGUCUCAGCUUGGUGGUUACACAGAACCGCCCAAUGGCGACAGCGACUUCGGCCUGGAGUUUAGGCCACUGACAGCAGGCGAUGGUUAGCACAUGUUCAGAACAAAGAGCAUUACACUUUGUUGAAAAAUUGAAGGAUGUCUUAAUUUUUGUUUUAUAGAUUGUGGUUGAUGUACUCUGAAUUGGUUGAUAAGUCAAAUAUCAUUCUCAAGUAUGAUAGCCACAAAACCCAUAUCCCCUCUGC